rnacentral:rRNA from 1 species
GUCUUCCCACUCUCUUGCUGAGAGGGAGUUAAGAUCCCAGGAAGAGUACCUGGUAGAUAGACCACACGUGGACGCCUGGUAACAGGUGCAGCGAAGUGGCCCUAAUGAUCGUACGGCUUGUCUCU